GUAAUAGAAUAUCGGUCUGGGUUGCCAAAACGGAAACAGGCCUAUCAAGAUUCUUUUUGGGCCAACGGCGUAUCAAGAUUCAAGAUUACGCGAAGCUUGGAAGAGCGAGGGGAAGGUAGGAGGAAGACGAGAAGAAUGGGAAGAAAGAGGGAAAUGGAAGUGACGUGGAAGAACAGCAAGAAACGUUCUUUGUCGGCGGUGUCCAACUUUGGUAACCUUCCUUUUGAGCAUCCAGAGGAGGAUGAGACUCCUCACCAAGACCGUGCUCGUUUGCAGGGCGAUAAAGAUGCCGAAAUCGGUUCUCGUAACUCUGACCAAUCCAAAGACCAAGAUAGUCCCCAGUACUCCAACUUAUCGGAAGCAAGACGUCUGGCCAAAGAAUUUCAAGCUCAGGGAGACAGGCUUGCUGAGGAUGGGAAGUACGCGGAAGCAUUAGGUAAAUGGGAGUCUGCUCUGUCACUGACACCUGAAGUUGCGGUAUUACACGAACAGAAGGCCCAAGUUCUACUGGAAAUUGGAGAUGCUUGGAAUGCUUUGAAGGCUGCGAUGCGAGCUACGGAAUUGCAGCCGUCGUGGGCUGAGGCAUGGGUCACGCUUGGCAGAGCACAGCUAAAUUUUGGCGAGCCUGAUUGUGCUAUUGUGAGCUUUGACAGAGCCCUAUCUAUCAAGCCCGAUUGCGCGGAUGCGCAAGAAGACCGAAAAACUGCAUUACGUCUUGUAAAGAAGAGAAAGCAACUCCACUCAGCAGGCUUGAGUAAUUCUAAAAAUCGAUAUGCGGUUGGUGAUAAAGAUGAAAGCGCCUGAAGGAGAGAACUUGGUCAUCGCAGUUGUGUUCUCAGCAGCUGGAUCCUCACAUGCAUAGUUCAUUGGCAUGGACAGACGAUCUCUCCAGUAGAAGUUUCCUCCCUGCAAAUUAAUGUUGACGUGAUCAGGAUGUGACAGUGCGUUAUAAGUUAUCGAUGUAGGAUCUAUAUAGUAUAUACGGUCCGGCGCAAUAUUCAGGACGGAUCACUGGUCAAGAUUUGCUCCUUCAAGAAUUUGCAAGCAUCCAGUGAUUGAGAAAUGAUAUAAAGAUCAUGGAUACCUACCGUUGGCUAGAUAAAAUUGAAAUCGCUACUUAGACGAUCAGGAGUCGCAAAAUACAAAAGGGUAUUUAUAAAAGUGGUAAUGAAAAUUUGAAGAUUGAGUAUCGCUCCUCUGAUUAUCGAUGGAGCGGGCAUUUUAUCAUUCAGUGAAAAUUAAUUUCUAACAUUUCAACCCCAGCCAAUUAGUUACCAGUUAGCAUCAAUUUACUUAAAAAAUAUUCAUAACUAUUCCUUUCAAUUUACAAA